CCCGCUGAACUUAAGCAUAUCAAUAAGCGGAGGAAAAGAAACUAACAAGGAUUCCCCUAGUAACUGCGAGUGAAGCGGGAAAAGCUCAAAUUUAAAAUCUGGCGGUCUUGCGGCCGUCCGAGUUGUAAUCUGGAGAAGCGUUUAUCCGCGUCGGACCGUGUACAAGUCUUCUGGAAGGGAGCGUCGUAGAGGGUGAGAAUCCCGUCUUUGACACGGACAACCGGUGCUUUUGUGAUGCGCUCUCGAAGAGUCGAGUUGUUUGGGAAUGCAGCUCAAAAUGGGUGGUAAAUUCCAUCUAAAGCUAAAUAUUGGCGAGAGACCGAUAGCGAACAAGUACCGUGAGGGAAAGAUGAAAAGCACUUUGGAAAGAGAGUUAAACAGUACGUGAAAUUGUUUGAAGGGAAACGUUUGAAGUCAGUCGCGUCGGCCGAGAUUCACCCUGGCUUCUGCUCGGUCCACUUCUCGGUGGGCGGUUCAGCAUCAAUUUUGACCGCCGGAUAAAGGUCGGGGGAAUGUGGCAUCCUUCGGGAUGUGUUAUAGACCUCGAUUCGGAUACGGCGAUUGGGAUUGAGGAACUCGGCGCUUUGCGUCCAGGAUGCUGGCAUAAUGGCUUUAAGCGACCCGUCUUGAAACACGG
rnacentral:rRNA from 1 species